rnacentral:rRNA from 1 species
GACGAACGCUGGCGGCGUGCCUAAUACAUGCAAGUAGGACGCAGUUGCGAACGGGUGAGUAACGCGUAGGUAACUGCCUAUUAGAGGGGGAUAACUAUUGGAAACGAUAGCUAAUACCGCAUACUAGUAGAUGGACCUGCGUUGUAUUAGCUAGUAGGUAGGGUAAUGGCCUACCUAGGCGACGCUACAUUGCCGACCUGGGAGGGUGAUCGGCCACACUUGGACGUGGACACGGCCCAAGCGCCCUCGGGAGGCAGCAGGAGGGAAACUUCGGCAAUGGGGGGAACCCUGACCGGGCAACGCCGCGUGAGUGAAGAAGGUUUUCGGAUCGUAAAGCUCUGUUGUUAAGGAAGCGGUACUUAACCAGAAAGGGACGGCUAACUACGUGCCAGCCGCCGCGGUAAUAC